rnacentral:rRNA from 1 species
AGUGAACGCUGGCGGUAGGCCUAACACAUGCAAGUCGAACGGCAGCACAGUAAGAGCUUGCUCUUACGGGUGGCGAGUGGCGGGCGGGUGAGGAAUACAUCGGAAUCUACUUUUUCGUGGGGGAUAACGUAGGGAAACUUACACUAAUACCGCAUACGACCUACGGGUGAAAGCAGGGGAUCUUCGGACCUUGCGCGAUUGAAUGAGCCGAUGUCGGAUUAGCUAGUUGGCGGGGUAAAGGCCCACCAAGGCGACGAUCCGUAGCUGGUCUGAGAGGAUGAUCAGCCACACUGGAACUGAGACACGGUCCAGACUCCUACGGGAGGCAGCAGUGGGGAAUAUUGGACAAUGGGCGCAAGCCUGAUCCAGCCAUACCGCGUGGGUGAAGAAGGCCUUCGGGUUGUAAAGCCCUUUUGUUGGGAAAGAAAAGCAGCAGGUUAAUACCCCGCUGUUCUGACGGUACCCAAAGAAUAAGCACCGGCUAACUUCGUG